ensembl:lncRNA
CAGCUGAGUCAGUCAGACUCAGUGGAGUUAGUGCUACCAGAAACUCGUUCAGUCGAGUUUCCGGUGAUUCGAAUGAUGAACGAGACGAACGUGAGAAACGAACCGGUUCGGUUUGUUCGUCCUUCGUCGUUCUGUUCGUUCAUUCGAACCGGUUCGCGAACGACCGAGCCAACACUAGAGAACACAUGUAGCGAUAGGCUAGGGAGCUAGACCUACAGUGCUUUGCUACGUGCUUACCUUCAAUAUAAUUACACUUGAACGUAUGUCGGUCUCCUGUGCUUAUUACUACUUGCAACAUAACAAAUUGGCGACGAAGAACUUACUCACGUUACUUUUGCACUACCGAUUUUUUUUGCUACAUUUUAAUGUUUCAAUAUGACUGCUACAGCACCUUUCCCGGAUUUGUUUCUGACUGCGCCGGGGGAGCCCGCCGUUCCAUUCAAGAUUUGGGAACAAAUGUUGAAGAACUACUGCUUGGUCAUCGACGUGGAUGGACUAAACUGGACUGAGGCAAGACAACGUGCCCUUUUGCUUCACUGCUUAUAUUAGGAACAGAGAGACAAAGAAUAUUUGACACAUUGCCGGAGACUGGUGCUACAUUGGCCACUGCGAUAGCUGCCCUGCAUGGCUACUUCACACCAAAGAUACCCUGGAUGGGGGAGGCGGAUGACGCGGAAGCCUUCCUCGAGACCUUCCAGGGGGUGGCCGAGGUCUCAGGGUGGCCCCGCCCGGAGUGGGCGCACCGUCUCCUGCCGCUCCUAACAGGAGAGGCGCAGCUUGUAGCCCACAGUCUGCCGGCUGGGGCCCAGCGGGACUACGACGCCAUCACCAGGGCCAUCCGAGACCGGCUGGGCCUCUACCCGGAGGAACAUUGCCGGCGGUUUCGGGCGCUGGCCUUCCGUGAGGGCGCCUGACCCUUCGCCUUCGCCCAGCAGCUGAUGGACCAGGCCAGGAGGUGGCUGGUCCCAGACCGGAACACGGCAGAGGACGUGGUGGAGCAAGUGGCCCUGGAGAGGUUCGUGGAGGGGCUGCCGGCUAGGACCUCCGCCUGGGUCCGAUACCACCGACCCGAGGCUCUCUCCGCCGCGGUCGUCCUGGCGGAGAGCCACCUGCAACCACCACCAGCGGGCCAGCGACCACCGACACCGAGCCCACGUACCGGUGUGGCUGCCCCACGGCGGGACAGACCAACCCCGGCGCCGAGGGCGAGAUGGGGGGGCGUUCCAGAGCGGGCACAUGAGUCGCCUCCCACCCCCACUCCACAGGCGGGCGCUCAGGCGGCAGGGGAGGGGUGCUGGCGGUGCGGGCGGCCUGGCCACUUCCGGCGGGAGUGCCCUAUGAUGGAGGUGGGUCAGGUCGUCCGCGUCACCGGUGCCCCGUCUCCUCCCCACGGUCCCGGCGAGGCGUACCGUAUCCCGACGGACGCGUCGGAUAGGGGGUUGGGCGCGGUCCUGACCCAGCAGGUGGAGGGGGUCAACCGCCCGGUGCUGUACCUGAGCCGGAAAUUAUCAGACCGGGAGGGUCGGUACAGCACGGUGGAGAAGGAGUGCCUCGCCAUCCGGUGGGCGGUCGGCGCCCUCCGCUACUACCUGCUGGGACGCGCGUUCACCCUCUACUCCGACCACGCCCCCCCUCCAGUGGCUCCACCGCAUGAAGGACGUCAACGCGAGGAUCACCCGGUGUGAGAGGGGGAAUCCAGGAAGGAUUGGGAGGAGAAAGGAGCCGAUCGCCACCAGAGAUCGCGCCAAGCAGAAUUUGAUUUACGUUCUGUCUAAUUGCCUUUGAUUUAUACGUUUAUGGAAAGCAAUAAAAUAACUUCCUUGGGG